rnacentral:rRNA from 1 species
AUACGUAGGGGGCAAGCGUUAUCCGGAUUUACUGGGUGUAAAGGGAGCGUAGACGGCGAAGCAAGUCUGAAGUGAAAGGACGGGGCCCAACCCCGGAACUGCUUUGGAAACUGUUUGGCUGGAGUGCGGGAGGGGUAAGCGGAAUUCCUAGUGUAGCGGUGAAAUGCGUAGAUAUUAGGAGGAACACCGGUGGCGAAGGCGGCUUACUGGACCGUAACUGACGUUGAGGCUCGAAGGCGUGGGGAGCAAACAGGAUUAGAUACCCUGGUAGUCCACGCGGUAAACGAUGAUCACUAGGUGUCCGUGGGUAUGACCCAUGGGUGCCGCAGCCAACGCAAUAAGUGAUCCACCUGGGGAGUACGUUCGCAAGAAUGAAACUCAAAUGAAUUGGCGGGG